UACGUAGGGUGCAAGCGUUGUCCGGAAUUAUUGGGCGUAAAGAGCUCGUAGGCGGUCUGUCGCGUCGGCUGUGAAAACCCAGGGCUCAACCCUGGGCCUGCAGUCGAUACGGGCAGACUAGAGUCCGGCAGGGGAGACUGGAAUUCCUGGUGUAGCGGUGAAAUGCGCAGAUAUCGGGAGGAACACCGGUGGCGAAGGCGGUUCUCUGGGCCUGUACUGACGCUGAGGAGCGAAAGCGUGGGGAGCGAACAGG
rnacentral:rRNA from 1 species